GGUCCUGUGGCCCAAUAGAUAAGGCGUUUGCCUCCGAAGCAAAAGAUUGUAGGUUCGAUUCCUACCAGGAUCG